rnacentral:misc_RNA from 1 species
AUUUUCAACUUCAGUCCCUGUUCUGCAGAAGCAAGGAAAAGAGGAUACGGCGAGGCGACCCUUAUGAUUUACCCGGAAAGCUAAAACCCUAGCUUUCCCGGAACACUUAGCUCUUUGGCGGGAGGGGUGGAGGUUUCGGGACCAAUGGAGGUUGGAAAUGGGGAUGGAGAGAGAAGAAUUGUAGUGAAGAUGGCUGUGAUUGUGAAG